rnacentral:lncRNA from 1 species
CAAUUUGGGGAGAAUCUAGGAGGGUCGUUCCUGUGUCUUCAUCCUCUGGCCCUUGGCCCAGCCUUCAUCAUCUUCAUGAAUUUUUGAACUUUCUUGAUUUUGGCAGACUUCAUGGUGAAUUUUGCAAGAUUCUUGGACUCAAGCCCCACUUUGCCCCAUUAUCUUACUUAGGUUGUGUGUGUGUGCAUUCUGUUUAGUGUACAGUACCACCUAAUCUCUAGUACCACCUAAUCUCUAUCUCUAGGUUCUGGCAGUACAUCCUAGCUGAGUAUUGGCAAAGUUCUUUGUGCUUUCGUUUAUACUUAUAUUCCUAUAUUCUGCUUAUAUUCCUAUAUUCUACUUAUAUUCCUAUAUUCUGACUUAUAUUCUGCUUUCUAGGCCUUGUCUGGCUUCAGUUCUUAGCGAUUUUCUUGGAUGCCUAGAUUCCAGCCAGGGUCAACCCGCAACAAGUGGAAUUUAUUACACGGAAAGUUCACGGAAGUGAUCAAACAUACAAGCUUUGGCAAGGAUAGGCCCUCAGACUGCUGUGGAAGUCUUCUGUGGAAAAAGUUAGUGAGACUUAAAUCUUCUACUGAUAAAAUCAGCGAGACCUACACCACUGGUGGUUGAAGAAGUACAACAAAGCCAUAUUUCUUGGAUAAAAUACAUCAAGUAAAGGUUCUUCUUGUGAAGAGGCUGGUUUUAAAGGCUGGUUGAUG